GACGAACGCUGGCGGCGUGCCUAACACAUGCAAGUCGAGCGGGGUUGAAGCGAGAGGUAACUCGAACUUCUACCUAGCGGCGGACGGGUGAGUAACGCGUGGGCAACCUGCCUCAAGGUCUGGGAUAACAGCCCGAAAGGGCUGCUAAUACUGGGUAUGCUUGUGGCCUCGCAUGGGGCUAUGAGCAAAGGGGAAACCCGCCUUGAGAUGGGCCCGCGUCCCAUCAGCUAGUUGGUGAGGUAACAGCUCACCAAGGCGACGACGGGUAGCCGGCCUGAGAGGGUGACCGGCCACACUGGGACUGAGACACGGCCCAGACUCCUACGGGGGGCAGCAGUGGGGGAUCUUGCACAAUGGGCGAAAGCCUGAUGCAGCGACGCCGCGUGAGCGAAGAAGGCCUUCGGGUUGUAAAGCUCUGUCUGGAGGGACGAAGGAAGUGACGGUACCUCCGGAGGAAGCCACGGCUAACUACGUG
rnacentral:rRNA from 1 species